UACGUAGGGUGCGAGCGUUGUCCGGAAUUAUUGGGCGUAAAGAGCUCGUAGGCGGCCUGUCGCGUCGGAUGUGAAAGCCCGGGGCUUAACCCCGGGUCUGCAUUCGAUACGGGCAGGCUGGAGUGUGGUAGGGGAGAUCGGAAUUCCUGGUGUAGCGGUGAAAUGCGCAGAUAUCAGGAGGAACACCGGUGGCGAAGGCGGAUCUCUGAGCCAUUACUGACGCUGAGGAGCGAAAGCGUGGGGAGCGAACAGG
rnacentral:rRNA from 1 species